UCGAUAAGAUUACCGCCCUAGUUCUAACCCUAAACGAUGCCAACCAUCAAUCCGCGCGUAGCACCCAGUUAUACGGGCUCGGCGGGCAGCUCCUCACUCACGGGAAACCAGAGUCUCUGGGUUCCGGGGGGAGUCUGGUUGCAAAGCUGAAACUUAAAGGAAUUGACGGAAAGGCACCACCAGGCGUGGAGCCUGCGGCUUAAUUUGACUCAACACGGGCCAUCUCACCAGGCCAGCACUCUUGUACGAUUGACAGAUUGAGAGCUCUUUCUCGAUUCAGUGGAUGGUGGUGCAUGGCCGUUCUUAGUUGGUGGAGUGAUCUGUCUGGUUAAUUCCGAUAACGAACGAGACAUAAUUCCGAUAACGAACGAGACUCUCCCCUGCUAACUAGUCGGUUGGAUCUUGAUUAAUACGUAUGUGUUGGGGGCUAACACCUCCUUCACUGUGUCUAUCGGUGAGUCGUGUCCUGAGACCACUCGAUGUUGGUGUGCGUUCGGGAUCGUGUACUGCUUGGGGAUUCGGGUGUGGGUGUGCGUGCGCGCGCGCGUGUCUUUCGCUCUCUUCGGAGGGUGGGAGUGCGUGUGUGUGUGUGUGUGCCUGUGCUUGGGUUUUCCGUUCGUGGUGCGCCCCGCUCGUGUGCUCUUCGAGCCUUGGAUAACACACUCCAAGUCCACCGUCAAAGCUUAAAUUCUUCUUAGAGGGAUUCACGGUUCUGAAGCCGUAAGAAACUGAGAGCAAUAACAGGUCUGUGAUGCCCUUAGAUGUUCUGGGCCGCACGCGCGCUACAAUGCCGGGCACAGCAGGUGUUCUUCCUACUCCGACAGGAGCGGGUAACCCUCUGAAAGCCCUUGAACUUUUGAAUUGUCUUUUGAUAUAUGCGCACGUGUGUGUGCUGCACUUUGUGUGGUGUGCAUGCGUGUGUUAUUGGCGUGAUUGGGCCUGGGUCUUGCAAUUUUUACCCACAAACGAAGAAUGCCUUGUAGCGGCGGGUCACUGAGCCCGCCGUGACUCACUCCCUGCCCUUUGUAUCA
rnacentral:rRNA from 1 species